AUUUGAAAUACGUCACGGAGCACCACUUUCGAAAUGUCCUAUUUGACACGAACUCAGCUGAUCGUUACUAAACUAACUGGAUCUCAAGCCUUGUCUACUUUUUCCUAAUUGUUACACGACUGUGGCUAAUAAGAUUUUUUUUUAAAGAAGAGAAAAUGAGCUCUGGAAAUGCACUACAGUCAGUGUCUCCUCACAACAAUCAACCGCCGCCGACACCAAGCCUGGCGAAAAGAAAGAAGAUUCAAGAGAUGUCUGCAAUAAGGAGUCCAACAGACAGUGUGAUGUCCCCAUGUACAAGACAGCUCAUGAAGAAAGCUAUCAAGGACAUACCGUCAUCUCCCAGACCCAGACGGGAAGCGAAAGAGAACACUGCAAAUAAAUGAAUGACCUUUUUAUGUACAGUGUGAUGUCUUUACGGUAUUCCUCUCUCUGCUAAGAUGGUCAGAUCAAUCAAUCAUUGACACUUUCCUGACAUUAUACUGUCUUUUUAAGAUGUUCCUACUAACCAAGCUGCUCACACUUUAUUGAUCCAUUAUGCAAUAUGGUGUAUCUGGGGG